UACGGAGGGUGCGAGCGUUGUCCGGAAUCACUGGGCGUAAAGGGCGCGUAGGCGGCCUGAUAAGUAGGGGGGUGAAAUCCUGCGGCUUAACCGCAGGGCUGCCUUCUAAACUGUCAGGCUCGAGCACAGUAGAGGCAGGUGGAAUUCCCGGUGUAGCGGUGGAAUGCGUAGAGAUCGGGGAAGAACAUCAGUGGCGAAGGCGGCCUGCUGGGGCUGUUGCU
rnacentral:rRNA from 1 species